CCUACGGGAGGCAGCAGUGAGGAAUAUUGGUCAAUGGGCGCGAGCCUGAACCAGCCAAGUCGCGUGAGGGAAGAAGGUACAGCGUAUCGUAAACCUCUUUUGUCAGGGAACAAAGGCGGGGACUAGUCCCCGGAUGAGGGUACCUGAAGAAAAAGCAUCGGCGAACCCCGUGCCAGCAGCCCCGGUAAUACGGAGGAGGCGAGCGUUUUCCGGAUUUUGUGGGUUUAAAGGGUGCGCAGGGGGCCUGUUAAGUCAGCGGUAAAAGCCCGGGGCGCACGCCCGGCGAGCCGUUGAAACUGGCGGGCUGGAGUUGGAGAGAAGUACGCGGAAUGCGCGGUGUAGCGGUGAAAUGCUUAGAUAUCGCGCAGAACCCCGAUUGCGAAGGCAGCGUACCGGCUCCACACUGACGCUGAGGCACGAAAGCGUGGGUAUCGAACAGGAUUAGAUACCCGAGUAGUC
rnacentral:rRNA from 1 species